rnacentral:rRNA from 1 species
CACGUAGGGCGCGAGCGUUGUCCGGAAUUAUUGGGCGUAAAGAGCUCGUAGGCGGCCUGUUGCGUCCGCUGUGAAAGCCCGGGGCUUAACCCCGGGUCGGCAGUGGAUACGGGCAGGCUAGAGGUAGGUAGGGGAGAAUGGAAUUCCCGGUGUAGCGGUGAAAUGCGCAGAUAUCAGGAAGAACACCAAUGGCGAAAGCAGCUCUCUGGGACGGUACUGACGCUGAGACGCGAAAGCGUGGGGAGCGAACAGG